UGGGGAAUAUUGCGCAAUGGACGAAAGUCUGACGCAGCGACGCCGCGUGAGGGAUGAAGGUUUUCGGAUCGUAAACCUCUGUCAGAAGGGAAGAAAGCGCAUCCCGCCAAUCAAGGGUGCGUUGACGGUACCUUCAAAGGAAGCGCCGGCUAACUCCGUGCCAGCAGCCGCGGUAAUACGGAGGGCGCAAGCGUUAAUCGGAAUUACUGGGCGUAAAGCGCGCGUAGGCUGUUGUGUAAGUCAGGGGUGAAAGCCCACGGCUCAACCGUGGAAUUGCCUUUGAUACUGCGCGACUUGAAUCCGGGAGAGGGUGGCGGAAUUCCAGGUGUAGGAGUGAAAUCCGUAGAUAUCUGGAGGAACACCAGUGGCGAAGGCGGCCACCUGGACCGGUAUUGACGCUGAGGCGCGAAAGCGUGGGGAGCAAACAGG
rnacentral:rRNA from 1 species